AUUGAACGCUGGCGGAAUGCUUUACACAUGCAAGUCGAGCGGCAGCGCGGCCUUCGGGCUGGCGGCGAGCGGGGAACGGGUGAGUAAUGCAUCGGAACAUGCCCAGUCGUGGGGGAUAACACUUCGAAAGAAGUGCUAAUACCGCAUACGUCCUGAGGGGGAAAGCGGGGGAUCGCAAGACCUCGCGCGAUUGGAGUGGCCGAUGUCAGAUUAGCUAGUUGGUGGGGUAAAGGCCUACCAAGGCGACGAUCUGUAGCUGGUCUGAGAGGAUGAUCAGCCACACUGGGACUGAGACACGGCCCAGACUCCUACGGGAGGCAGCAGUGGGGAAUUUUGGACAAUGGGGGCAACCCUGAUCCAGCCAUUCCGCGUGAGUGAAGAAGGCCUUCGGGUUGUAAAGCUCUUUCGGCAGGAACGAAACGGUGGGCUCUAACAUAGUCCGCUAAUGACGGUACCUGAAGAAGAAGCACCGGCUAACUACGUG
rnacentral:rRNA from 1 species